rnacentral:rRNA from 1 species
AUGUUUGGAUAUUAUCUUAGUCCAUUUCCACCAAGGCUACCCAUAAGUGAAUUAUGUGAUGGAUUUGCCAGCCAUCCAGGUGAUCGAUUUUUUCGACACGACUGCACACGAUCACAUAUUUCUGCUCGUGGGUCAGCUGUUUUCAACGACCAAGAAAGAUUGGUUGGCAUAUCAUAUGAGCGUCAUGGUUUAACAAAGGCCCUGGAUGUCGAGGGCAUAAGAUAUGAACUUUUACAGAUUUACGGAGGAAUGAAUGAGAUGUCCAUUUUGCAGAUUGUAGAACAUAUAAGAGCUCUAGGUGAAGUAAGAGCUGCGAAUCUUGCAGGCCCUUCUUGA